rnacentral:rRNA from 1 species
AUUGAACGCUGGCGGCAGGCCUAACACAUGCAAGUCGAGCGAGCGGCGGACGGGUGAGUAACGCGUAAAGAACUUGCCUCACAGCUAGGGACAACAGUUGGAAAAGAAUGCUAAUACCUGAUACUGUGAGAGAGCUUUGCGUCCCAUUAGCUAGUUGGAGAGGUAACGGCUCACCAAGGCGAUGAUGGGUAGCCGGCCUGAGAGGGUGAUCGGCCACAAGGGGACGGAGACACGGCCCUUACUCCUACGUGAGGCAGCAGUGGGGAAUAUUGGACAAUGGACCAAAGUCUGAUCCAGCAAUUCUGUGUGCACGAUGAAGUUUUCGGAAUGUAAAGUGCUUUCAGUUGGGAAGCGUUACCAACAGAAGAAGUGACGGCUAAAUACGUGCCAGCAGCCGCGGUAAUAC